AUUGAACGCUGGCGGCAGGCCUAACACAUGCAAGUCGAACGAGUGGCGGACGGGUGAGUAAUGUCUGGGAAACUGCCCGAUGGCGGGGGCUAACUACUGGAAACGGUAGCUAAUACCGCAUACCAUCGGAUGUUCCCAGAUGGGAUUAGCUAGUAGGUGGGGUAACGGCUCACCUGGGCGACGAUCCCUAGCUUGUCUGAGAGGAUGACCAGCACAACUGGAACGGAGACACGGUCCAGACUCCGACGGGAGGCAGAAGUGGGGAAUAGUGCACAAUGGGCGCAAGCCGGAUGCAGCCAUGCCGCGUGUAUGAAGAAGGCCUUCGGGUUGUAAAGUACUUUCAGCGAGGAGGCGUUACUCGCAGAAGAAGCACCGGCUAACUCCGUGCCAGCCGCCGCGGUAAUUC
rnacentral:rRNA from 1 species